GUCCCUUCCUCACCAAACAGUACCAGAACUAUCUCCCCUCCACCCCCAGUGUGUCAAUGAAAACUGACAAUCAUAGCAGCCUCUCCCUUCCUUCUGCUGGAUCAGUGUCAGGGGAAGAGAAGCAAAGCUGAGGUUUAAGUCACACAAAUCUGCUGGGAGAAAUCAGUUGGAAGCUCCAUGACUUGUCUCUCCUGGACCCUGACUUAUCCAGCUUUUCUUGUUACUCAUUUUUAUCUGCAUUUUUUCUCUAUAAUAAAUCAUAUUGUGAGCUGCUGCAUGACCAUAAAAAUGGAGUUUGGUGAGUUCUAGUGAAUCACUGGAAUUGGAGGUGGCCUGAGGAAACUUCUGGGUUAAAGUAUAUGAUAACCUCUUAUUCUAACAAAUCAUCACGUAGUGUUACACAAGUUGACUUCAUAAGCUGGUUCUGCAUAUACUCUCUUCAGUGACACAAGGGCUUCACCUUGGAACUCAGAGGGGAAGAAAUCUCGCACCUGGGGAUAGUCAGGAGACCCAGGCAGCUGCAGCUCUGUCUCCCAGCCUUGGGAACAAUGCCUGGCCCGAGGCCAGGGUCGCCUGCCACCAGCUCAAUCAGCAUUCUGCUUCCUAGGAAGUAUGCUGCUGUUGUCCUUGCUCAGGAUGCCAUGGAUGACACCCAUGUAAGACAGUGAACUCAAUUGGUAACUGUGUGUACUUUGUGCAUUGACUGGUAAUCCCCCACUGCACCCCCAUCUCUCUUUCCUCAAACCUUCCCCUAGGGUCCAACAAUAUUGAAAUUAGACCAAUAACUAAGCCUACAAUGGCCUGUAAGAGUUCAAGGUAAAGGAAAAGUGAAUUGAUGCAGCAACCUUCCUGCUGUCUUAUUUUAACAACUUCCCACUGUUAAUGGACCUCAGGACAGGAUAUACAUAAAUUUUCUAAGGUUGGGAAACCAAAAUAUUCAUGUGACUUGCUUUAUUGAGAUAUUGUUUGAUUGUGGUGAUCUGGAGACAAUUCUGAAAUAUCUCUGAGGUGUGCUUGUAUCAGAAAGUUCUUAUCCUAGAGAGUU